rnacentral:tRNA from 1 species
GGCCCGAUGGCGAAACUGGUAGACGCACCGGACUUAAAAUCCGGUUCCCUAUGGAGUGCCGGUUCGAUCCCGGCUCGGGCCACCA